UCCCGGGUGGUGAAAUGGCAUCACUACAGGCUCUGAACUUGUUGUUCUAGGUUCGAAUCCUAGCCCGGGAUCAA
rnacentral:tRNA from 1 species